rnacentral:rRNA from 1 species
GAUGAACGCUGGCGGCGUGCCUAAUACAUGCAAGUCGAGCGAACGGACGAGAAGCUUGCUUCUCUGAUGUUAGCGGCGGACGGGUGAGUAACACGUGGAUAACCUACCUAUAAGACUGGGAUAACUUCGGGAAACCGGAGCUAAUACCGGAUGAUAUUUUGAACCGCAUGGUUCAAAAGUGAAAGACGGUCUUGCUGUCACUUAUAGAUGGAUCCGCGCUGCAUUAGCUAGUUGGUAAGGUAACGGCUUACCAAGGCAACGAUGCAUAGCCGACCCGAGAGAGUGAUCGGCCACACUGGAACUGAGACACGGUCCAGACUCCUACGGGAGGCAGCAGUAGGGAAUCUUCCGCAAUGGGCGAAAGCCUGACGGAGCAACGCCGCGUGAGUGAUGAAGGUCUUCGGAUCGUAAAACUCUGUUAUUAGGGAAGAACAUAUGUGUAAGUAACUGUGCACAUCUUGACGGUACCUAAUCAGAAAGCCACGGCUAACUACGUG